UACGUAGGGUGCGAGCGUUGUCCGGAAUUAUUGGGCGUAAAGAGCUCGUAGGCGGUUUGUCGCGUCUGCCGUGAAAGUCCGGGGCUCAACUCCGGAUCUGCGGUGGGUACGGGCAGACUAGAGUGAUGUAGGGGGAGACUGGAAUUCCUGGUGUAGCGGUGAAAUGCGCAGAUAUCAGGAGGAACACCGGUGGCGAAGGCGGGUCUCUGGGCAGUAACUGACGCUGAGGAGCGAAAGCGUGGGUAGCAAACAGG
rnacentral:rRNA from 1 species